UGAAUUGUUGUCAGGUCCACCAUCUGAUCUAUUGUCUGAUUUUUUGCGUGUUUCUCUUCAGAUUCCGUAAAUUCACAAAUAUCUUUUCUUUUUUUGUUGUCAAUUUUCAUACGUAUCUUUCACAUGCUAUGAAAUGGUAUAAUUAAUUUGCUCCAUUUAUCAUAUAUAUACAUGUUACGAUAUUUGUAUUUUUAUGAGUUUGAAUGGGAGAGAUUGCAAAGUUGAAAAGAACAACCGAAACCUAACUUUCUCUCGAAUAAACACAAAACCAGCUGCCGUCCAUUCAGAUCUGAUUUUCGUUUGCCCUUUCCGGUGACCGGCACUCCUCGCCGCAGCCGUGAGAAGGCUGUGACGGUGGUUCUUCUCGGCGAGCUUUGGAGACAUGGCAGGGUUAGAUGGAAUCGAUUUGGUUGUUUCAAUACUAGGCUGGUUCAGACUGGUUCAGUUUCAGAGAUGGUGUCGUUUACCUUUUCUUCUUCUCCCAUGGUAAGGGAUGUGGAAAAGGCAAUAUCUUCCCGGAAUUAGUUGAUUAGGUUUCGUAUUGUCUCUGACUGUUUUGGAUAGAAGUUGAGGUUCCCAGUUUAUGCUUGUUUGAUGAACAAACGAAUCUUCGUCGUGGUGAUUGUCAGGCCUACAAGUUCUUAUGUGUCCUUUAGAGUUCUCUUUGGGUUCAUUAUGGUUCGAUCUUCCGCUGUCAUUGAUUGUGAUUGGUGGUACCCAGUUUGGAUUGUUCGCUCCUUGUCUCUGCUUUCCAGAUCUGAUCGAGAUCUGGUCCUAUGGGUUUUGCUUCUACCUAGGUGCAAAAAAGUCGCCUUGUAUACGACGUCGCCGUAUCCGGAAGAAAGUGUGAAGAACUAUGAGUGGUUCUGUCUUUGCGGAUUAUGAAAAUUAGAAUAGGAGUCCUGUUACUUUUAGGCAGUCUCUUAGAGGAGGAAUGAAUUUUUGAAGGUUAGCCGAGGGCAUCUUCGAUUUGUACAAGCAAAGGAUCUCUUAAAGUUAGCAUUCUUUGUUGGGCUUGGUAUAAUUCUUUCUUUGUGAGGUUUUCGUUUUGGUAUGUUUUUAUUAUGGGUUUCUCCUUCGAUCUUUGUAAUAGUCUUGUUUUCCAGUUGUUAGUUUCCCUUAGAUUUUGGGGAUAUCUUGUUCUUCGGUCGACUUUAGACUCCAGAAAUAUCAUGUUUUUCCGCCGGUUUAUGUUGUAAUUCAAAGUUGUAAUGGUUUUAAAUUUCAAUAAUAAAAUUUUAGAUGACAAAAAAAA